rnacentral:lncRNA from 1 species
GGUGUGCAAGGCUGCACGGUGUGCAACAACUGCUGCCAAUGACUGUGAUGUCACUGAGUUGGAAAAGAAAAGAAGAGACACACAGAGAACAUCAUGUGAGGACACAGACACACAGGGAAGACGGCCAUGUGAUGACGGAGGCCGAGAUUGGAGGGAUGUAUCUACAAGCCAAGGAACGCCCAGGAAUGUGGGCAACCCCCGGAAGCUGAGAGAGGCCCGGAAUAGGUUGUUCCUCAGAGCUUGCCACAAGGAAGCAGCCCUGCUGACACCUUGAUCGUGGACUGGUCGCUACCGGAACUGGCCACGCUGAAAGUAUAGACCCCCGAGGGCAAGAUGCUAUCUGUGUAAACGGAGCUGCCUCCUGCUCUUACACACAAGUUGUUUUUGAAGACACGCAGGAAAUCGAAAGCACACUGCUCGCAGCCUGGGGAAGUCCUCCGGCUCCGUCCACCCCGGGGGGCGGGCGUGGGGACCCGCCGAGGGCGCGCCGGGGGCGGCCUGCGCUCGACCCCCGCCGGAGCGUCCCGGGAGACCCAGCGCGUCUGGAGCGCGGACGCGGCCCUCCUCUUCCUCCCUCUCCCUCCGCGGAGUCCCUGGACCCCGAUCCCGGAUUCCCUCCUCCGCAGCUUGGCGCUCUCCCGAGCCGGAGCCGGAGCCCGAGCCGGAGUCGCGGCGCGGCCGGGCCGCCGCGUCAGAG